rnacentral:lncRNA from 1 species
UUUGACAAUAGCAAGGAGCAAUGUUAUAAGUGUCAGCAGUUCAUUCAUUUUGCAAAAGAGUGCAAUGCGAACAAGAAAGAAUAUCAAGGGGGUGAAGCCAAGGUUGCAAUACAAGAGUUUGAUAAAGAGAAUUCACUCUUGGUCAUGAUUAUGGAAGGGGAAUGCAACAGCAAACAGCUACGGGACAGAAGCUGCAUCAACUCAAAG